UGGGGAAUUUUGGACAAUGGGCGCAAGCCUGAUCCAGCCAUGCCGCGUGCGGGAAGAAGGCCUUCGGGUCGUAAACCGCUUUUGUCAGGGAAGAAACGCUCUGGGCUAAUACCCUGGGGUAAUGACGGUACCUGAAGAAUAAGCACCGGCUAACUACGUGCCAGCAGCCGCGGUAAUACGUAGGGUGCAAGCGUUAAUCGGAAUUACUGGGCGUAAAGCGUGCGCAGGCGGUUAUGCAAGACAGAUGUGAAAUCCCCGGGCUCAACCUGGGAACUGCAUUUGUGACUGUAUAGCUAGAGUACGGUAGAGGGGGAUGGAAUUCCGCGUGUAGCAGUGAAAUGCGUAGAUAUGCGGAGGAACACCGAUGGCGAAGGCAAUCCCCUGGACCUGUACUGACGCUCAUGCACGAAAGCGUGGGGAGCAAACAGGAUUAGAUACCCAGGUAGUCCCUGAGCGGGCUGGCAAGGCGCAU
rnacentral:rRNA from 1 species